CGAAAUGCAAACUGUCCACCUUGUUUAGGGAAUCCCUCUGCCCAGAUGAAGCCCGAGGCGACAGUUCUUUCCUUACAUCAGGCAGCCCUCUCGGAGUAAGACUUCCUUCUGGUGCUCCCAUGGGUGAAGCCCAGCAAAUAUUUAAGCUCUCACUCCAUGAAAUAACAGUGUGAGCCACGAGGUCUCUACAGGCAUUAGUGACCAACACAAAACCAGCCUAGCUCUGCCGCCACGCUCACCACCACAGGGCAUUUGGACGCUGCCUUCUAGUCACUGUGCACUUGCGUGAACUUUUCCGCCACGGGCACGUCCUAGGGAGUGCUGGUGAGGUAAUCAAGGCCUGGGAAGGUGCCGAGCUGUGACCUCUGCUCCUAGAACCCGCUGGAGAGCAGACACAGAGGCACCAGGGGUAGCAUUUGUGCACAUCUGUUUGUAAGGACAGCAUCACAGAGAGCUCGAUUGACCGAUACCAUCACCGUCUUCCCUUCUUCACAGCACUGGAAACCAGCUCCCUCUUCCCUGCCUCCUGACCCCAUCACUGUCUCUUCCUGCUCUCAGAACUCUGGGCCUGAAGUGCCUGACCUGGGACCUGGACAGCACAUUUUCAAAAUAAGGAAAGCUGGGAUCCUGGCUGGACUGUGCCCUGGAUGGUUCUAUACCAAGAAGGAAUGGCCCAUGGUCUUCCAGCUUCCAUGCCCUCAUGAAGACGAUACCAAAUGCAUUCUUAUUAGCUCCAGAAGCGGCAAACUGAGACGCUAGACCACCAGAGCUGAGGGGAAAACGAGAAGGGUUACAGGCACAGGAGAGUCUGGCAGAGAAGGCUGGAGACCCGAGGAGGGAAGUCCUGGAGCCCAGGGGAAUAAUAGAAGACAGACAACCAUGUCCUCACUAGCCCCGCUAUUCCACUGAGCCUUUGCCUGCCCAGCAGCCUUCUCCACAGCUCUGGAAAUGGGGGACUGUGGAUUCAUUCUGGGCUAAGAAAAAUCAGGUUUGACCAAGGAAGAUCACCUGAGAAAUCUCCAAUAGGAGGAAUGGCCCAGAUGUCUGAGUUUUACACCCAGAACAAUUCUAAGACUGAGAUGAUCAAGCCUCACAGGAUACACCAGUCAGGACUUGAUCAUAAUUCUAAAUUUUCUUUAGGUCUCCAUAAGAUUAUCAGUGUCCCCAAUCAGCAGGAAGUAGCCUGAAAAACUAUGCCCACAUUCCCCCCCCCCCAAAAAAAAUGUACUAUGGAUGUUUGCCUUUGUUUAGAAUGUUGGUUACAAGUUGUUAUGGAUAAUGGUCAGUAGAAAAACUAAACAAAGGAAAUUCGAUUCAGAUUUCUUGUUUAAAGAGCUGUGGGACAACGGUCUGUACCCUGUCACUUGUAUUUUAAAUAAACACUGAUUGGCCAGUAGCCAGGCAGGAAGUAUAGGUGGGGCAAUGAGAAUUCUGGGAAGAGGGAAGUUUCGGUCUGUAGUUGUCACUCAGACAGAGAGGAAGCCAGACACAGAGCAAGCAAGAUGUAACUGCUUCGCUGAAAAAGGUAUCAAGCCAUGUGGCUAACCCAGAAAAGAAUUAUGGGCUAAUUUGUUAUAAGAGUUAAUAAGAAGCAUUAGCUAAUAGGCCAAACACUUUAUAACUAAUGUAGACCUCUGUGUUUUUCUUUGGGACUUAACAACUGCAGGAACCAGGCAGGACAGAAACCUCAGUCAAUACCUGAGGAGAGAGGGAGCUACUUGAGGAGAGAGAGGGAGAGAGAAGGAGACACUGAAGAGAGAGAAGGAGCUACCUGAGGAGAGAGAG